rnacentral:rRNA from 1 species
GGGAAACUGCCUGAUGGAGGGGGAUAACUACUGGAAACGGUAGCUAAUACCGCAUAACGUCGCAAGACCAAAGAGGGGGACCUUCGGGCCUCUUGCCAUCAGAUGUGCCCAGAUGGGAUUAGCUAGUAGGUGGGGUAACGGCUCACCUAGGCGACGAUCCCUAGCUGGUCUGAGAGGAUGACCAGCCACACUGGAACUGAGACACGAUCCAGACUCCUACGGGAGGCAGCAGUGGGGAAUAUUGCACAAUGGGCGCAAGCCUGAUGCAGCCAUGCCGCGUGUAUGAAGAAGGCCUUCGGGUUGUAAAGUACUUUCAGCGGGGAGGAAGGGAGUAAGGUUAAUAACCUUGCUCAUUGACGUUACCCGCAGAAGAAGCACCGGCUAACUCCGUGCCAGCAGCCGCGGUAAUACGGAGGGUGCAAGCGUUAAUCGGAAUUACUGGGCGUAAAGCGCACGCAGGCGGUCUGUCAAGUCGGAUGUGAAAUCCCCGGGCUCAACCUGGGAACUGCAUUCGAAACUGGCAGGCUGGAGUCUUGUAGAGGGGGGUAGAAUUCCAGGU